rnacentral:rRNA from 1 species
UACGGGGGGAGCAAGCGUUGUUCGGAUUUACUGGGCGUAAAGGGCGCGUAGGCGGUCGUGACAAGUCACUUGUGAAAUCUCCGGGCUUAACUCGGAACGGUCAAGUGAUACUGUCGGACUAGAGUACAGAACGGGGCAACUGGAAUUCUCGGUGUAGCGGUGAAAUGCGUAGAUAUCGAGAGGAACACCUGCGGCGAAGGCGGGUUGCUGGGCUGAUACUGACGCUGACGGCGCGAAAGCCAGGGGAGCGAACGGG